AUGGGUGAUUUACAUGACUUUCAUGCUGAUAAAGGGUAUAAAUAUCCUGGGAAAAGAUGCCUAUUAAUACAUAAUUGUUACUGUAGAUAAAACCCUUAAUGAGAAUUGGUGUUAACAUGUAAGCAUGAAUUUCAGUGAUCCAAUCAAGCAUUAUGACGAGUAUACAGAAUGUUACAGUAGCUUUCAUGUGAAGCCUUUAUUCAGAAAAAAACUGAGUCCACCUUCAGUUCCCUUUCUUCCGGUAGAGAGAAAAGAUAUGAGCAACACAGCCAUAUAUUGGAUCUUGAAGCCUGGCCUGCGCCUCAUAUGACAUAGUAACUGCAGCCUCGCAGCGGUCACUUGUCGGGAGAUGCAUUAGGAGCUUUGAGGCAUUGCUAGCCCCAAAGACCUUAUGGAUUGCAGCAAAGUGCGCAGCACCUUGCUCAUGACAGAAGUAUGGGGCAAAGACACACCCCUUCACACACUUCCUGCGCAGGAACUUGCACGCGCCACAUGAUGCAGGGAGCAGAUCAGAGUCUCCACUCCACUCCAGCACUGUACGUGUUAGUCUUGCAGAAAACAGGUGUCCCGUUCUUCCGUGGCAGCCGACUGAAAUCCAGGAAGCAGUUGUGCAGGUAUCUCGUCUAUCUACUCCCCUUGGGGACAUGUGAGGCGGCCGGCCCCCCAGCAAAUGGCAUUGCCGGCCGGGCGGUGACGGCGAUGGAUCGGAGCAGGCCGGCUGGGAAUCAUGUGCCCCGCCAAGGAAUGAAGUGAAUGCUGAGGCUGGAAGCAAGCAGGUCGGCGGUGGCGUGCCGGAAGAGCAGCAGGUGGCUUGUCUUUGAUUGACUCUGACUGUGUAAUGUACUCUACUGUAUGGCACAGUGGCUGGUCUGACCUGACGGACCUCCGUUGCGUAGGCCGGCGGUGUGUCCCGUCAGUCAGGUCGCCGUUGCUUGGGGAGUGUGAAUAUGAAUGGACGGUGGUGUGUUGUUUGU